GGGUGGGCCACGAGCGGUAGCCGCCGGGCGAGCUUGCAAAGCACAGAUGUCGGCGGUUCGAAACCGUCCGCGCCCACCA
rnacentral:tRNA from 1 species